rnacentral:rRNA from 1 species
GACGAACGCUGGCGGCGUGCUUAACACAUGCAAGUCGAACGGAAAGGCCCUGCUCUUGUGGGGUGCUCGAGUGGCGAACGGGUGAGUAACACGUGAGUAACCUGCCCUUGACUUUGGGAUAACUUCAGGAAACUGGGGCUAAUAUCGGAUAGGAGCUCCUGCUGCAUGGUGGGGGUUGGAAAGUUUCGGCGGUUGGGGAUGGACUCGCGGGUUAUCAGCUUCUUGGUGGGGUAGUGGCUUACGAAGGCUUUGACGGGUAGCCGGCCUGAGAGGGUGACCGGCCACAUUGGGACUGAGAUACGGCCCAGACUCCUACGGGAGGCAGCAGUGGGGAAUAUUGCACAGUGGGCGGAAGCCUGAUACAACAACGCCGCGUGCGGGAUGACGGCCUUCGGGUUGUAAACAACUUUCGCCUGUGACAAAGCGUGAGUGACGGUAAUGAGUAAAGAAGCACCGGCUAACUACGUG